rnacentral:rRNA from 2 species
GUUGACCUCGGAUCAGGUAGGAAUACCCGCUGAACUUAAGCAUAUCAAUAAGCGGAGGAAAAGAAACCAACAGGGAUUCCCCUAGUAACGGCGAGUGAAGCGGGAACAGCUCAAAUUUGAAAUCUGGCCCUUGGGUCCGAGUUGUAAUUUGCAGAGGAUGCUUUUGGUGCGGUGCCUUCCGAGUUCCCUGGAACGGGACGCCUUAGAGGGUGAGAGCCCCGUACGGUUGGCCACCAAGCCUGUGUAAAGCUCCUUCGACGAGUCGAGUAGUUUGGGAAUGCUGCUCAAAAUGGGAGGUAUAUUUCUUCUAAAGCUAAAUACUGGCCAGAGACCGAUAGCGCACAAGUAGAGUGAUCGAAAGAUGAAAAGCACUUUGAAAAGAGGGUUAAAUAGCACGUGAAAUUGUUGAAAGGGAAGGAUUUAUGACCAGACUUUUUCUAGGGGGAUCAUCCGGUGUUCUCACCGGUGCACUUCCCCUAGUUGAGGCCAGCAUCGGUUUCUGUCGGGGGAUAAAAGCUUCAGGAAUGUGGCUCCCUUCGGGGAGUGUUAUAGCCUGUUGCAUAAUACCCUGACGGGGACCGAGGUUCGCGCAUUGCAAGGAUGCUGGCGUAAUGGUUAUUAAUCACCCGUCUUGAAACACGGACCAAGGAGUCGAACAUUUGUGCGAGUGUUUGGGUGUUAAACCCUCACGCGUAAUGAAAGUGAACGGAGGUGAGAGCCUUUCGGGGUGCAUCAUCGACCGAUCCUGAUGUCUUCGGAUGGAUUUGAGUAAGAGCAUAACUGUUCGGACCCGAAAGAUGGUGAACUAUGCGUGGAUAGGGUGAAGCCAGAGGAAACUCUGGUGGAGGCUCGCAGCGGUUCUGACGUGCAAAUCGAUCGUCAAAUCUGCGCAUGGGGGCGAAAGACUAAUCGAACCAUUGACCAGCGGUCAAAACAAUCACUAGGUGGUUAAGAGGGGGCCCGCGAGGGCCAUGGAGAAAAACCUAGGCUGUGCCCGGUUACCCUGUAGCUACCCUGUAGCUACCCCGUAGCCGAGCCGGCCGACACCGCUAAAAUGCGGGGACAUCCCUUUACAGGGCCAAAGGCUACCGCCACGCGCUGAAAAGCGUGCUGGCACCGAGAAUAGUGCUCUCGGGUAUGGUAACAACGCCGGCGGCCGGGACGACCUGCAGCCAACCCCGCCUCAGGGGAGAGUUCACAGACUAAACAGCGGUGGGUUGGCAGCGCCCUUCGGGGCCUGCCAGCCUAAGAUAUAGUCGACCCAGGGGC